rnacentral:tRNA from 1 species
GGUCGGAUAGCUCAGUUGGAUAGAGCAACAGCCUUCUAAGCUGUGGGUCUUGGGUUCGAAUCCCAAUCCGAUCA